rnacentral:rRNA from 1 species
UACAGAGGUCUCAACCGUUGUUCGGAUUCAUUGGGCGUAAAGCGUCCGCAGGUGGCAGUUCAAGUCUGCUGUCAAAGACCGGGGCUUAACUUCGGAAAGGCAGUGGAAACUGAACAGCUAGAGUAUGGUAGGGGCAGAGGGAAUUCCUGGUGUAGCGGUGAAAUGCGUAGAGAUCAGGAAGAACAUCGGUGGCGAAGGCGCUCUGCUGGACCAUAACUGACACUCAGGGACGAAAGCUAGGGGAGCGAAUGGG